ensembl:lncRNA
AGCUGAAGAUAAAUGAUAUUUAUAUUCAAAAAUUUAAAUAGAAUGUUUUUUUCCCUGUUAACAUUAGUGGAAACUGGAUCAGAUGGCAGAGCUUAUGAAUGCAUGCCUACGUUCUUGCUUGUCUUAAGUACAAAGCUUUUGGGAAGAGGACUGUCUUGGUGGCACUGGCCGGGCAGCUGGUGCAAUGUGUUCCUGCUCAGUGCUGGAAAGCAGCGAGGGCCGCGUGGAGAGCGAGCCUGCUGCCAGCAAGGAAAGAGCGAAGGGCUGCAGAGCAGUUAAUGGAGAUAUGUGUGGUAAUAAAAGCUCCCAAGCUGACAACAUAAGCUGUGGGGAAGAAAAGACUGGAGAAAAAACACUUGCAGGGCAAAGCUUGCCAUCUGAACUCUCGUUAUAUUAUCCUGACCUAACAGUGAGCCACUGUUAUCUGUUGAACAUCUUGAGAUGUACGUGCUGCACUGACAUCACCUCAGCCUUGAAAACGUGAGAACCAGGGAUACAGGUGAUGUAGUCCCCUCCAUGACAACCGUGUUAUGACCAACGACCCAAUUUGUAUCAUUAAAUUCCUGAAAUAAGUUACGGAAUUAUCAACCUAAGCGUUGCUGAGACAAUGCAGACCAACCAUUCUUGGCUUCUCAUCAACAGCCCCACAAUCUAAUGCUCUUUUUCUAGAGGAAAAUAUGUUGUGGCUAAAUUCCACGGAAACAAAGUACUCUGGAUCUGGAUAGCGAGUGUGGGUUUUUGGACCUGUGGUGAAGAGAGGAGUGGACCUGGACCUGCGGUGUGGAUGUGAGAGAGGAAUUUGGCAGGGGAGUUGCAAUUCUUGUCUGGUGGUGUGUCAGAGUGGUGUGAAGAGGUACCUCCUCUUUGCCCUACCUGUUUGCCUGUGAGUUUUCACAUGGGUUGAAAAAUCUCUUUGUAAUUUGCUGCUUGGUUAAUCACUUUAGAAGAUCUCGGUUGUGGGUUGUGUUUUCCAUAUAGUGCUGUCUGUCUGGAUUCUACUUUGUCCUUGGCUGGUAGUUCUCAUCAGUAGGUGCAGAGAUUGCAGUCAAGCUGUGAGAGAAAAAACAGUUAAACUUUGUGCCAAAUAUGCAUUUAGAAGACAAACUUUCCAGAACAAUCAGAAAGGAAGAAUCUGGUUCUUGAUAUUAUUCCUUGUUGAGUCUUAUGUAGCCAGGUUGAAUCUAGGAUGUGCCCCUUGGUGUAGUUUGUUAUACAUCAUGUCAUGUUUUACAAAAAUGCGUGGUGUUUGUAAAAGUAAUGGAGAAGUUUUGCACCCGUAAUGAAAUACGUCUGCCAUCUUUAAUUAAGUCCAGUUCCUAUGGGUAAAAGUAUGUAAAUCAUUCUCCGAUAAUAAGUUUGCCAUUUAGUUUUAUUUGCAAAAUGACACCACUGAGUAAUUGCAGAACAUUAUUUACAAAAUUAAACAAAAGCGCAUGCAAUUCAAAGAAUUAAUAUAUCCACAAACUCAAAAAACCCAAACAAAUCAAAGGGAAUUCAUUUGUUUGACAGGCGCGCAAACUGAAUAAUAAAAUGGAAAAAAACAUGAGUUUGAAGCA